GACGAACGCUGGCGGCGUGCUUAACACAUGCAAGUCGAACGGAAAGGCCCUGCUUUUGUGGGGUGCUCGAGUGGCGAACGGGUGAGUAACACGUGAGUAACCUGCCCUUGACUUUGGGAUAACUUCAGGAGACUGGGGCUCAUACCGGAUAGGAGCUCCUGAUCCAUGGUGGGGGUUGGAAAGUUUCGGCGGUUGGGGCUGGAGUCGCGGCUUAUCAGCUUGUUGGUGGGGUAGUGGCUUACAAAGGCUUGGACGGGUAGCCGGCCUGGGAGGGUGACCGGCCACAUUGGGCCUGGGAUAGGGCCCAGACGCCUACGGGAGGCAGCAGUGGGGAAUAUUGGACGAUGGGCGGAGGCCUGAUGCAGCAUCGCCGGGUGCGGGAUGACGGCCUUCGGGUUGGAAACCGCGUGCGCCUGUGACGAAGCGUGAGGGACGGUAAUGGGUAAAGAAGCACCGGCUAACUACGUG
rnacentral:rRNA from 1 species